rnacentral:rRNA from 1 species
CUACGGGUCGCUGCAGUGAGGAAUAUUGCACAAUGGGGGGAACCCUGAUGCAGCAAUGCCGCGUGAGUGAAGACGGCCUUAGGGUUGUAAAACUCUUUCGCUAGGGAAGAUAAUGACUGUACCUAGUAAAGAAGUCCCGGCUAACUCCGUGCCAGCAGCCGCGGUAAUACGGAGGGGACUAGCGUUGUUCGGAAUUACUGGGCGUAAAGAGUUCGUAGGCGGACUGACAAGUUAGAGGUGAAAUCCCAGGGCUCAACCCUGGAACUGCCUUUAAAACUGUCAGUCUAGAGACCGGAAGAGGUUAGGGGAAUACCUAGUGUAGAGGUGAAAUUCGUAGAUAUUAGGUGGAACACCAGUGGCGAAGGCGCCUAACUGGUCCGGUACUGACGCUGAGGAACGAAAGCGUGGGGAGCAAACAGGAUUAGAUACCCCAGUAGUC